CCUACGGGAGGCAGCAGUGAGGAAUUUUGCGCAAUGGGGGAAACCCUGACGCAGCAACGCCGUGUGAGUGAAGAAGGCCUUCGGGUCGUAAAGCUCUGUCAAGGGGGAAAAAAUCCUUUCGAUCAAUAGUCAUUAAGGACUGAUGGUACCCCUAGAGGAAGCACCGGCUAACUCCGUGCCAGCAGCCGCGGUAAUACGGAGGGUGCAAGCGUUGUUCGGAAUUACUGGGCGUAAAGAGCGUGUAGGCGGUUUGGCAAGUCAGAUGUGAAAGCCCUGGGCUCAACCCAGGAAGUGCAUUUGAAACUGCCAUCCUAGAGUAUGGGAGAGGAGAGUGGAAUUCCCAGUGUAGAGGUGAAAUUCGUAGAUAUUGGGAGGAACACCCGUGGCGAAGGCGACUCUCUGGACCAAUACUGACGCUGAGACGCGAAAGCGUGGGGAGCAAACAGGAUUAGAUACCCUGGUAGUCCACGCCGUAAACGAUGAGAACUAGGUGUAGCGGGUAUUGACCCCUGCUGUGCCGUAGCUAACGCAUUAAGUUCUCCGCCUGGGGAGUACGGUCGCAAGGCUAAAACUCAAAGGAAUUGACGG
rnacentral:rRNA from 1 species